CAGAAUGAUGAAGAGACCAUUAAUUUGUCUCCGCCGUCGUUUUAACAUUGAGGUAUAACAACGCCGAGUCAUCGUUUCGAUCGUCAUUUGUUUCGUUGGCGAUACGAUUGUUUCUCGUCUACAA
rnacentral:snoRNA from 14 species